AACCAUGUACCAACGAAGCUUCUUAUGGCUUCAUCUCCUCUAGUCCACUGGUUUUUCAGUAUCUCCUUAUCAACCUCAUUGACAUGCAUCAUGUUCUGAAGGUUUCCAAUGCAGUCAUGCUGCAUUCUAAGUUUGGUGUGAAUUGUCUCCUCGAUGUCCUCCAAUCUCUGGGGAAAAUCCUCUCUCAUCAAGUCUUGAGAAAAAUUAUUCUCAUCAAUCUUGUCUUCUAACAAUUUCACUAUUACCAGCCUUCCUCGCAACGAUGCGUGCCUAUUUUCAAUUGAUGGUCGAGUGUAACCGUCGAUCGAUGCUUCUGAUCAGACUGCAUUCUGUCUCCGAAUCAUGUUCAUCUCCUCUUUCAGCUCAUCCAUGCGUAUAGUCAACCUUUCAAUGCUGUCAUUGAGUGGGUAGUAGACAUCAUCGAGCCUCUUGUAGGAUUCUUCUAGUGACAGCUCCUUGGCUUUCUAGAUCCCAUGUACCAUAUCAUCAAUAUCUGCUCUGUUAUAACUGCCUAACUCUAGCAUGGUUCUGGUGAACUUCUCUGCAUGUUCUGGUACACAGAUAUGACCUUGUUCAUGCAUUGUAGCUCUUUCCAGAAUUUCUCUGAUGUCUUCCUUAGAAACAUGAAUGAUUAUGCCAUCUGGCGCUCGUGCAUAUCCAUGCUCGUCCCUGUAUACGCCGUAUUCAUCUUUUGUUUCCCACU
rnacentral:lncRNA from 1 species